rnacentral:ncRNA from 2 species
CAUUCCUCCUCAGCUAAAGGUGUCUGCUUCACUUUGCCAAUUGGCACUAUUCUGUGAAGCGGCAAGAGGGAAUCAGGUGUAAGACCUGAGCUGUACCCGCAACUGUAACAGGCCAGUCUCUAUCUAUCCGGUACACACACGCCGGAGUCAUCCACUGGGAAACCGGGAAGGAAGGUAGAGAUGCUUAACCUGGAGCCAGGAGACCUGCCUUUAAAUGCCAACGGUG